CGCACGGUUCUGGCUCUGAGUCUCUUAUGAGGUUGCAAAGAGUGGCUGGAGUCAUCAUGAUGGCCUGAUGCAGGUGCAGGCACCAGGAAGACGCAGACAGCUGAGGACGUGAAAUGCUCAGGCAUCUCAAAUCUGCUUCUCUUUGGUUUUGUUUUGUUUUGUUUUGUUUCCCCCACAAGGGAUCUCCAGCAUCGUGUCUCAAGACUUCAAAGGCUGAUGUCCCGAGAUGACUGGUUUUGUAAGCCUUAUCUGGGAAGUUAACCAGUGUCAGUUCUGUGACAAGCUCUUCACUGAAACAAAUCGCCAAGGCCCGCAUUUCAUGGUUUUUGGAGCGAGACUUAGCUGUAUUCUUGGCUUCAGGAUCUCACCAGCUUGAAAUCAUUUUGAUGGUAUUGCAACCUCAUCUACGGGCUUGACCGGAGGAGAAUCCACUUCCAAGUGCACUCAGGACCUUGCCCUCCUUUGAGGAAAGAACAGAGUACUCCUGCACAUCAACAAACAGGAACCGGACCCCCUUGCACAACCCCUGAGCACUGAGAUAACAUUUGGAGCUGGUAUCAUCAAGUCUGCACGUAAUCAAGAAAUGUUGCAGGCCGCUGCACUCCUUUUGCUGGUUAACUACCCUAAACCUGUUAAAAAAAAAAAAAAAACCCUGGGUCAGGCAGGAAACCUCCGAGUUGGUUUUUGGACAAGAGUCUGCCUUCUCCCCAGGUUGCCAGCCUUCUGACUAAAGCCCAUGUUCCUUUCUCGUCAAAAACUCUCCUCCUGAGUGAUGGCCUUCCAAGCGACCGGCAGCCGAACUUGGGUUUGGUAACACAUUGACCAAGAAUGUCAAUAUUAGUCCGGACUCUCAGUUGUGUUUCAUUGGUAUAUAUGUCUAUCUGCAUGUGAAUAUUACACUAUCUUGAUUAAUACAUGCUAGUAGCAAGCUUCGAUACCAGGAACUGAAAUCCUCCAGAUUUGUUCUUUUUAAAAAAAUCCUUUUGGCUAA